rnacentral:ncRNA from 1 species
AAAAAAAUUAUUAUAGUUUAAAAAUUUUAUUAUAAGUUUAUUUUACAUAUAAAUUUUAGUGUUAUUUUUAAAUUAUUUUAAUAAUAAUUUAUUUUUUAAGUAGUAAUUAAUAUUAAAUUAUUUAAGAAAUUAAGAUUUAGUAAUAUUUAAAUUAAUAACAAAUUUUGUGCCAGCAGUUGCGGUUAUACAAAAAUUAAAUUAAAUUUUAUUAGAUAUUAAUAAGUAAUUUAAUUUUAUAAAUAAAAUUUUAAAUUAUUAAGUGAAAUUUUAAUUUAAUAAAAUUUUAUAUUUUUAAUUAUUAUUUAAUAAAUUUUAUAAAAAACUAGGAUUAGAUACCCUAUUAUUAAAGUUUAAAUUAAAAUACUAAAAUAGUAGAUAAUUAUUUAUUGAAACUUAAAUAAUUUGGCGGUAUUUUAGUUCAUUUAGAGGAAUCUGUUUAAUAAUUGAUAUUCCACGAAUAAAUUUACUUAAUUUAUAAUUUUGUAUAUCGUUGUUAAAAAAAUAUUUUUAUAUAAAAAUAAUAUUUUAAAAUUAAUAUGAUAAAUUAAAUCAGAUCAAGAUGCAGAUUAUAAUUAAGAAUAUAAUGGAUUACAAUAAAUUUAUUUAAAUGAAUAUUAAUUUGUAAUAAUUAAUUGAAGGUGGAUUUAAAUGUAAUUUUAUUUAAUUUAAUAAAAUGAUUUAUAAUUAAAAUAUGUACAUAUUGCCCGUCGCUUUCAUAUAUUUAUAUAUUUAAAAAUAUAUUAAAAUUGAAAUAAGUCGUAACAAAGUAGAGGUACUGGAAAGUGUUUCUAGAAAGAA